CGCCGAGGGGCGCUGCGAUGGGCCGGCUUCGAUGAAGCCUUCCCGCCAGGCUCGGCGACGAACACCCCAACGGCGCCCGGU
rnacentral:ncRNA from 1 species